AUGCAAACAAUUGCAAGCGAGCUACUGUGAAAUAUCAAUGGUUUGGCCUGGCAAACUCUGUACAUUUCUCCUUUCGCUUCUUAUCGUGGUUGCGUUAGAAUCAGUUUCCUGCGAUCGAUCAGCAGAAUCUGGUGAACCUGAUGAAGGUGAGGACCAGGAAAAACGCUUUUGGGGAUGGACAAUUCUUUUCGGAGCUGUGAAAGGUGCUGUGAAAGGUGCCAUUCAAGCUAUCGGAAUUGAUAUGGACGGCAAGGAAUCAGAAGAACCCCGAUAGAAAAUCAGUUAUAAAUUUUUAAACAACAUUAUUAAUACUGAUAAUGAAGAAAAAAAU